rnacentral:rRNA from 1 species
CCUACGGGGGGCUGCAGUGGGGAAUAUUGGACAAUGGGCGCAAGCCUGAUCCAGCAAUGCCGCGUGUGUGAAGAAGGCCUUCGGGUUGUAAAGCACUUUUAUCAGGAGCGAAAUACUACCGGCUAAUACCCGGUGGGGCUGACGGUACCUGAGGAAUAAGCACCGGCUAACUUCGUGCCAGCAGCCGCGGUAAUACGAAGGGUGCAAGCGGGAAUCGGAAUUAGCGUGGGUAAAGUGUGCGUUGGCGGGUGAAAUCCCCGGGCUCAACCUGGGAAUGGCAGUGGAUACUGGCAAGCUAGAGUGUGUCAGAGGAUGGUGGAAUUCCCGGUGUAGCGGUGAAAUGCGUAGAGAUCGGGAGGAACAUCAGUGGCGAAGGCGGCCAUCUGGGACAACACUGACGCUGAGGCACGAAAGCGUGGGGAGCAAACAGGAUUAGAUACCCUGGUAGUC